UCUCCCGCAGCAUGCAUGUUAAAUCAGCAUCAAAGUUGAUGUGAAAUUCAAUAAUCAAAAUGCAGCAUCUAUAAUCAAGGAGAUCGUAGUGCAUACUAAUGGACAUGAUAAUUCUCACAAUACACUUGAAAAGCACUAUAGACAGUUGUGAUCAUCCAAGUUAAAUUGGCAACGACAAUGAGGACAUCAAGUGAUUGAGUAGCUUUCUACUAUGGCAAAGCUAUUUAUUAGCUUUUUGUUCUUUUGAUAA
rnacentral:lncRNA from 1 species